GUCCAUGGACUCUGAGAUGGGGAAGCUGGCUGUGUCAGUCUGUGUAUGGGUCCAUGGACUCUGAGAUGAGGAAGCCGGCUGUGUCGGUCUGUGUGCGGGUCCAUGGACUCUGAAAUGAGGAAGCCGGCUGUGUCGGUCUGUGUGCGGGUCCAUGGACUCUGAGAUGAGGAAGCCGGCUGUGUCCUUCUGUGUGCGGGUCCAUGGACUCUGAGAUGAGGAAGCCGGCUGUGUCCUUCUGUGUGCGGGUCCAUGGACUCUGAGAUGAGGAAGCCGGCUGUGUCGGUCUGUGUGCGGGUCCAUGGACUCUGAGAUGAGGAAGCCGGCUGUGUCGGUCUGUGUAUGGGUCCAUGCACUCUGAGAUGAGGAAGCCAGCUGUGUCGGUCUGUGUGCGGGUCCAUGCACUCUGAGAUGAGGAAGCCGGCUG
rnacentral:lncRNA from 1 species